CCUUGGGAAUGUAUCUCCUUUCGGGGUAGAGUUAUAGCCCCAGGGUGCAAUGCAGCCCGCCUGGAUCGAGGAACGCGCUUCGGCUAGGAUGCUGGCGUAAUGGUUGUAAGCGGCCCGUCUUGAAACACGGACCAAGGAGUCUAACAUCUAUGCGAGUGUUUGGGUGUCAAACCCAUGCGCGUAAUGAAAGUGAACGGAGGUGGGAACCCUUAAGGGUGCACCAUCGACCGAUCCUGAUGUCUUCGGAUGGAUUUGAGUAAGAGCAUAGCUGUUGGGACCCGAAAGAUGGUGAACUAUGCCUGAAUAGGGUGAAGCCAGAGGAAACUCUGGUGGAGGCUCGCAGCGGUUCUGACGUGCAAAUCGAUCGUCAAAUUUGGGUAUAGGG
rnacentral:rRNA from 1 species